AGACGGGUGAGCUGGAGGGCCCUGAGGUGGAUGGAUUUGUCAAAGAUAUGAUGGAGCUGGUGAAGCCCAGCAUCAGUGGCACAGACCUGGACAAGUUCAGGAAAGCUCUGAUGGGUCACCGCGACAUCAACGGAGACGGAAAGAUCCAGAAGAACGAGCUGGCUCUCUGCCUCGGCCUCAAACUCGGCUAACAGACCACCACAACGUUCACACAUUUUUCUUUCUUUCCUCUAUCCUUCUUUCCAUCUUCCUUCUCUCUAUGUACAGUUCUAAAUUAUUUUAUUUUUCAAUUUAAAUGUGGAUCUUUUACUAUACUCUUUUACUCCCAUCUGAAUCAUUACUUCUCCCUCCCUAUUUUCGCAGUAUUGCCUCAAUUAUUGGCUCUCAGUUGGUGUUUUAAGAAUGUGUUAUCUACAUGUUUUAUGUUCAUAUAUAUAAUAUGUUAUAUAUUGCUAUAAUAUUUAUAUUAAAAUAUCUAGCAAUUCAAAUAAUGGUAAAUGUGUAGCCUUGAGUUGAGACAUAAAAAUAGUUUGUUUUCUUUGUAAUGUAAAAAAUAAACAGUUUGAAUUACAUUUUUUGUGAAACGAGUAUCAUGAAUGAUGGCUAAUAAAAUAGUUUGUGUCUUUGUCA